rnacentral:rRNA from 1 species
UACGGAGGGUGCAAGCGUUAUCCGGAUUCACUGGGUUUAAAGGGUGCGUAGGAGGGCAGGGAAGUCAGUGGUGAAAUCUCCGGGCUUAACUCGGAAACUGCCGUUGAUACUGUAGGGCUUGAGUAUAGUUGCCGUUGGCGGAAUAUGACAUGUAGUGGUGAAAUACAUAGAGAUGUCAUAGAACACCGAUUGCGAAGGCAGCUAACGAAACUAUAACUGACACUGAGGCUCGAAAGUGCGGGGAUCAAACAGG